rnacentral:rRNA from 1 species
UACAGAGGGGGCAAGCGUUGUUCGGAAUUACUGGGCGUAAAGGGCGCGUAGGCGGCCCGCUAAGUCGAACGUGAAAUCCCCGAGCUCAACUCGGGAACUGCGUCCGAUACUGGCGGGCUUGAAUCCGGGAGAGGGAUGUGGAAUUCCAGGUGUAGCGGUGAAAUGCGUAGAUAUCUGGAGGAACACCGGUGGCGAAGGCGGCAUCCUGGACCGGUAUUGACGCUGAGGCGCGAAAGCCAGGGGAGCAAACGGG